UACGAAGGGGGCGAGCGUUGUUCGGAAUUACUGGGCGUAAAGGGCGCGCAGGCGGCUCUGAAAGUCAGAUGUGAAAGCCCCGGGCUUAACCUGGGAAUUGCAUUUGAUACUCUGGAGCUUGAGUGUGGGAGAGGAGAGUGGAAUUCCCAGUGUAGAGGUGAAAUUCGUAGAUAUUGGGAAGAACACCGGUGGCGAAGGCGGCUCACUGGCUCGUUUCUGACGCUCAGGCGCGACAGCGUGGGGAUCAAACAGG
rnacentral:rRNA from 1 species